UUUGACUACUUGAUACUUGUGAAAGGGUUUUCCAAGUCGCAUGUUUUUUCGAAAUGCAAUUCAAAACACUCCUCUUGUUUCUAAUUACAACAGUUUGUCAAGCUGAUCAAGAAAAUGAAGCGAGAGAUUUAUCUACUGGAGCAAAUGAUAAUUCUAUUCUUGCAAUAAUCUUGAGAUAACUAUUUAGAAUAGAAGCAAAACAAAAUGGUUCCCCAUGACUUACAGAUACUUUAGUUCAGACGAUCAACGAAAACAAGAAGUUGUAUAAAGUAUUGCGAAAGCAGGUGACCGACAACAAAGACGAGACUAGCAAACUAUCUUCUACAAUUAACCUUUUGAAAACAAAUUUACAGUCGCAAAAGGCUGAGUUUAAUAGGCAAAUUUCAGUACUACGAAAACAUUAUGAAAAAAUACCAACAUUCACUGCUACCUUAAGCAAUCAUGGAUAUAUGCCAUUGGCCCGUGGACAGAUAUUGAAAUUCGAUAAAGUUCAUUUCAACAAUGGCGGCGGAUAUGACCCGACCACGGGAUACUUUACUGCUAAGAAGACCGGAAUUUACUUAAUGGCAUGCACGGUCCGUGCUACAGGUAACCAUUUACAUGUAACACUUUGGCGAAAUAGUCAACGAAUUAUGCUUUCUUAUGGAGUAAAUUGGAACACGGGGAGCUUUAGUAUUGCCGUUGAUGUAACAAUGGGCGAUAAACUUUAUAUCAAACACGAAGAUAGGGACAACGAAGUUGUUCAAGGUGGACCAACAUCAUUCUUUUCUGCUGUAUUUAUAUCUGGAUAAUAAAGAUUUAGCCUUUGAUAACACAA